rnacentral:rRNA from 1 species
CCUACGGGAGACUGCAGUAGGGAAUAUUGCUCAAUGGGGGAAACCCUGAAGCAGCAACGCCGCGUGGAGGAUGAAGGUUUUCGGAUUGUAAACUCCUUUUGUUAGAGAAGAUAAUGACGGUAUCUAACGAAUAAGCACCGGCUAACUCCGUGCCAGCAGCCGCGGUAAUACGGAGGGUGCAAGCGUUACUCGGAAUCACUGGGCGGAAAGAGCGCGUAGGCGGGAUAGCAAGUCAGAUGUGAAAUCCUAUGGCUUAACCAUAGAACUGCAUUUGAAACUGUUAUUCUAGAGUAUGGGAGAGGUAGGUGGAAUUCUUGGUGUAGGGGUAAAAUCCGUAGAGAUCAAGAGGAAUACUCAUUGCGAAGGCGACCUGCUAGAACAUAACUGACGCUGAUGCGCGAAAGCGUGGGGAGCAAACAGGAUUAGAUACCCCUGUAGUC